GAUGAACGCUGGCGGCGUGCCUAAUACAUGCAAGUCGAGCGAACGGACGAGAAGCUUGCUUUUCUGAUGUUAGCGGCGGACGGGUGAGUAACACGUGGAUAACCUACCUAUAAGACUGGGAUAACUUCGGGAAACCGGAGCUAAUACCGGCUAAUAUUUUGAACCGCAUGGUUCAAAAGUGAAAGACGGUCUUGCUGUCACUUAUAGAUGGAUCCGCGCUGCAUUAGCUAGUUGGUAAGGUAACGGCUUACCAAGGCAACGAUGCAUAGCCGACCUGAGAGGGUGAUCGGCCACACUGGAACUGAGACACGGUCCAGACUCCUACGGGAGGCAGCAGUAGGGAAUCUUCCGCAAUGGGCGAAAGCCUGACGGAGCAACGCCGCGUGAGUGAUGAAGGUCUUCGGAUCGUAAAACUCUGUUAUUAGGGAAGAACAUAUGUGUAAGUAACUGUGCACAUCUUGACGGUACCUAAUCAGAAAGCCACGGCUAACUACGAG
rnacentral:rRNA from 1 species